GUCCAGCAGGGCUGCGGCCAUUGUUUGUGUGGACUGAGUGUAUUGGCCAUAACGGUCCACUCUCACAGGCUCCGUUAAGUGACGUGAACUCUUGGGAGGACUGAGCCAGAAGCAGACAGGGCAAGACGAGCUGUGUUUGAAGGAAGAGGGGCAGAAAAUCGAGGGUCAGGGACUGAGAAGCGACUCCGGUUUAGAAACCCCGGAGACACCGGUGUAGGAACCUACCUGUGAUCAGCAAGGAAAGACUGGGUUGGCAAAGGCUCAUGCCCCCAUUUUACAGCUCAGCCAUCUCAGCACUACCCUUCCCGAGAAGAGGAACACAAAGGAGGAAGGAAUGUACACUGUUUUCCUCAUAGUCUGAUCCCAGGUA
rnacentral:lncRNA from 1 species